rnacentral:lncRNA from 1 species
UCUCUCCGGCCGGUGCUCUCUUGCCUGAACCGGAGGAGGUAUCAGGGCACGAUCAGGUGGCAUGAAGCAUAGGCGCGAGUUGCUUCCAAUAUGUGUCCAUGGCAAGCUGAUUAAGCUUCCCGGAUGGGUGGAAAUUGUACUUGUUCUCGAUCGGCCUCUGCAGUCCGGAUGAUUUGUUUAUUAGAAAUGAAUACAGGAAAAAUAAAGGAUCUGAAGAAAGCAAUCAAAAAUCAUUCAAACUUGGUUAGCUUCAGUUUGGAUAGCUCGUCUGCUCCAUUUUUUUUUGUUCCACUUGAUGACUGACACAGUGCUAAAGUACUGUCGCUGUAAAUAAUUCAAACCAAUCGUUAUAAAUUAUUGUUGCCCUAAAUUUUGUGAUGUUCACAGCAAUCUGUACAAGUAAUGCAAGUUAGAGCAUCUCUAGCAUAUCCCAUAUAANGCUGCCGCGGCCGACCUCAACCACCACUGUUGUCGAUCUCAACCCACCCGCCUCAGCGGCCGUACCUCUGCCCGCUUGCUGCCCCCGUUUCGGCGCUCGAACACAGCUUCUGGGUCAAAUAAACGCGACAGCUAUAGUGACUGGGGAUGAUGCGUCUGUUCGAUGCAGAACGGCGGCGAUGCGCAGAUAAGGCACGGCGGAGCGAAGUACUUGCAGGUGGAGGCGGGCCUCCAUGGCUCACACGGGAAACUCCGAGGUUAUGGCGCGGCAACGACGACUCCUUAUGGCGAGAUAGAGGUUCCUAACCCUUGCUCCCCUCGUCGUAUCCCCUCCUCCGGCAGGAACUCAUCAUCUGGUGAGAUCCCCUCCCCAUGCCUCCAACCGUGUGCCAAGGAUCGGUCAGAAAUUUUGUUUUGUGGGAAUUUGUUUGCUGAUGAAUGAAUGUAUUGAAUAUAAGAUUACACUGUUGUAGAGACAGAGAAUGGAACACCACCUUCAGUUUAUCAUCUGAUCCCACAUUCUCUACCCCAUGAGUGAAAUAAGAUAACAGUCCAUUGAUCAAUUCAGGUAGCCUAUUUGUUUUGCUUUGCUUGUUCCGUUUAAUUUUUCAUUAUGGUCGAAUUAACAAUGGACGGGUUAAUUUUUCAACAAAAUAGGAUAGAACUGACUACAUUAGUUAGUUAGCUUANUUGCAUCGCACGUGCCCUUUUGCUAGUUAUAGUUGAACAAAGUAGAUCUUUUCAACUACAAUUAAUUAGGUAUAAAAAAUAUAUUAUACAUUUAAAUCCUUGUAUAUUCUUGCAUUUGAAGACUGUUUCUUUCUUUUCCGUUAAUAAAUAUGGCUGCAUGCAGGCCGGGUUAACCUCCUUCUUUUUCAUAAAGUCCUUGUAUAUUAUUGAUUUUAUAUGGAGUUUUUCAUUUUUGCUUAAUUAGAACACUUAAAUGUACAAUAGUUAAGGUAUAUAUCUACAUGUGCCUCAUACGAACUCAAAUGAAAAGCAUUGCAUCUCAUAUCGCACGAUACUAACAAAAAUAAGGAAGCCUACAUCAAGAGUAUCUAGACACUCUUGGAUUGGAUGCCGCUUUUACGUCUAGACACCAGUCCAAAUGUCUAAAAAUGACCAGCAUUCCGGUAUCGCCAAAAUCUCGAAAGGAUAUAGGACGCUCGGACACGCCCAUGACAUUGCACUAACCUGGAGGGCCCGCACCAAUUCACGUGUAUUCGCCCCCCUCCCCUCCUUGCCAUCGAAGGUCAGCGCCACCGGACGAUGCCACCGGACUUUGAAAACAGUAUGUCAAACUAUGUACCCUCUCGGAUUCAGACGAUAGAUGUCAAAAUGAUUGAACUUUUAAAAACAAGCAUGUCCAUCACUGUUUGCGUUAUGAGGGAUACACACAGCCAUGACGAGUCUUUGUAUCUAUGAAUGAAGAAAAUUUAUAAUGACGGUCCAUAACCUUGAACAGAAAUGAUAUAUUGAAGACCGAAGCUUACCUUUUUUAAGGACGCGGUUAUUUAAGCCGGGCACAUGGCUGCUCACGCAGCUAGCCAGCUAGGCGUGACUAAACCCCCAACUAAGCGGGCCCAACACCGGAAAUUUUAAGUACAAAAAUAAUAAUUGGUGUUUACACAACCUACAAGCCCAACAUGGACAAAAUGAUCGACCUGCAUGUCCGUGCAUGUACUUGGUGUUUUGGUCACAAAACCCUAUUCCCAAAAGUUUUAGGAAUAGGGUUUUGUGAUCGUAAAUGACAAAAAUUGAGGACCCACUGUCACUGUUUGCGGGGGCGUCUCGAAGCCUAUGGACGUAUAUGGACCUGGAUUAGGCAAUUUCUGCUGUAGGUACUCUUAGAGCAACUCUAGCCCAUACUAUAAAAGUCUCUAAACUGUAAAUUUUCAGGAAGUAUAUGUGUUUGGACCGUUUUUGUGGCCACAUUAAACCCCGUAUACUCGGCCCGGCCCGUAAAUGUUUUAUGCUGGCCCGCCAACGCCCCCCGCCGCUCAUGAUAUUUUUGCAAGUCCUCAAGGUCGAUACGGGUACGGACCCUAUCCAUCCGCUAGAGUGAAAUCCCCAUUUCUCACCACAUUUCUCGUCGCCGGUGUGUCAAAUCCACCGCCCACUCACCGAUCCACGAGAUGUGGAACUCUGGUCGGCGCGGCGGCGAUGACCUCGUGCACAGGCGUUGCGUCAGAGCGAAUGUGUCACGGAGGAGCUCCACCCUGCGGUACACUCAUCACGGGCUAACGCAGUCGCCGUUGCUCCUCCGCCACGAGACGGAGGAGUACGACCGCCCGCGUGCGCGGCUCUUCUCCUACGGAUGCAUCUCCUCCGGGGCGUCCAGCUUGCACUUCUCUUUCACCCCGAUUAAGUGGGAGCUGGAGGAGCUCCCCCUAGUCCGUGCGCUGAAAAGGAAGCCGGAGCCGAGGCGGGGCGAAAGCGACGGGACGGUGGCAUUGUCUAGCCGGAGGACUUGCUCCUACCGACGAAGGCGGGGGCGAUUUUGGCCGCGAUGCUCGCGUGUAGUGCACGGGAGGAGGAACAGGAGCGGCAGGCCGCCGGUGGGAGGAGGAGAUCGGCGCCGUGCUUUACGAGCAGGGCCUCGCAUUGGCCCUCGUGUUCGACGAGAAGGAGGAGGAGUGGCGCCAUGAGUCCGCUGAGCAGGAUAGCAUCUUCGUCGAUCUCACCUUCAACUCCGACUCCGGUUGAGCGCCGCUCGGCUUCGGUGAGCUCGAAGGUCAGCUACCGCACCAUACGAGGUCCGAUGAGCUUGAUUUUGGCCAGUUCUUGGGUAGGGUAGCUCCGACGAGCUUUUUAUGUAAUAUAUCUAUGCUAUGUAUGAACGAUAUGCACCUAUGUAUGAAGAAUAUGUCCAUUUUGCGUUAUAAUUUGUUGCAUGAAACUUAUUUUUAAAUUUUUUUGUUCAGGUUACAAUUUCUUUUGUGACGUGGCGAUUUUGCAUCCGUUAGACCCCAUUCUCAGUGUCAAAACUGGCGGAUCUCGGGUAGGGGGUCCCGAGCCUGGAUCUUGGAUCAACGGGGAACAGAAAAACACAGAGACAAUAGUUACCUAGGUUCGGGCCGUCUCGAAGAGGUAAAACCGUACGUCCUGCUUGAUUAUAUUGAUGAGUGUAUGACCAUUACAGAGUCGAUCUACCACGAGAUCAGAUGUACUAAACAUUAGAUGAUGGUUUUGUCGUCUUCGAACUAAAACCCUCUAGUUUAUAUUGACCCUAGGGGUACCUACGAUUACAUAUGGUCGAUUAUCAGCAGGGAAUAAACAUGUCGAUUCUGCAUCUUGACUUGGAGCACACACCAAGGCUUCAGAGGUUUCCUUCCUGGUGCCAUCUUAUAGUUCGGCCCUUCAGUAGUAGUCACAAAGCGGCCCACCUGUCCGGCCCAUAGAGAUAGAUUGGCGGCCCGAGGACCCCUUAGUCCCGAGCUCCACGAGAGUAUGGACUCGGACCGGAUGAGAGCAGAGAUGAGGCUUGAAAUUGAGAGGGAGAAUAUCGAGUUGGGAAAGUAAGCGACGACGACCAAAUGGGAACUCAAGAAGGCCAAGUAAUUUGAGAGAUUAAGCUCAAGAAGGAGAGGUUGCAACUCGCAUGAGACACGGAGAAUGUGAAGAUCUUGUUGACGGACGAAUCCGUCUUGGAUAAGCAUACCAGAAAUGGCUUAAGGAGAAGAAGAAGGAGAUCAACGUCCAUAGAGAUAAGGAGGCAGCGAGGGUGUCUGCAGCAGAGGAUCAAGCGGCCAGGAUGUAGGUGGAGGAGGCAGUCAGGAUGCAGGUGGAGGAGUCAGCCACGAUGCACGGGGAGAUGGUUGCCCGCAUGGACGCACAGAUGGUUGCGUGGACGGAGCAGGACGCAUGAACGAACUCGUCCGGCCAGUGAUCGGACAAGCACACCCUUGCCACUCGGACAUUGAUUUCAUUUUGACAUGUCCGAUUUGUUGAAGUAUGAUUUCAUUUGCUUUUGUUUUGAAUUGUUGAAUUUGAACAAUUUGUAUCGCAUGAUCGACGUCCGUGAAUUACAUCGAUUUGUGGAUUGUAUUUAAGAUAUGUGAAUGUACGACGCAACAUAUAAGGGUUCGAUGGAUGGCGUGCGCGGACGCGUCCGGACACGCCCGCGAACAUAUAAGGGCUGGAUUGAUCGUCAAGUCCGACUAUAGAUGCUCUAACUUUAGUACAACUAAACAACUGUAUGAUUGAAACCAACAAAUAAAACAACCGGGAUAGAAUAAAAAAUUCAGAAGAUUGCAAUUCUCCAAAAAUUUCAUGAAAAUCCUUUUUCAUGAGACCGUAAGAGCAACUCCAACGGGGCGACCCAAAUGGAUACGUAUUUUGUCCGUUUUUCAUCCGUUUGGGUCACCUUCCGCUUAACGGACAUGGGGCGGACACGCACGGAUGGUUUGUGCUUCUAAUGCGCACACACAAAAACGAAGUCGGUCCUCGUCGCGCCGAUCCUCCUCUCGUCAUCGCGCCGCCUCAUUGGUGGCCUCUUCGCCUUGCCGAUGGCCUCUCUUCUCAAGCCCUCCGACCCCCUUCGCCUCGCCCCUUCGUCCCUCGCGCCAUCGCCGGAUCUAGCCGGUGCCGAAGUCGGGGGCUCGCUCUGCCACGGGCUCCAACUCCCCAUGACCUCCAGCGCGAGCGUUAGUUGCUCUAGCGAGGGAUGUGGCGGUAUGUGCUGGUGGACUCUCUCCUCGCGCCCUCCGACCCCCUUCGCGCCGCCCCUCUGCCCCCUCGCACCAUCGUCGGAUCUUGUCAGGGGCUCGCUCCGUUGCGGGCUCCACCUCCCCAUGAGCUCCAGCGCGAGCGCCUAUUGCUGAGAUGUGGGACCAAGGCGAACACGAGCGGACGACAUGGUCAAUGGAAGCGCCCGAUUCUGUCCACUUCGUACCCAUCUGAUCCCAUAUUUGGGCUAAGUUUGGGUCAGGGAGGAAAAUAGACGGACAACAUGCGGACAUGCACGUCCGUUUGGAUCGUCCCAUUGGGCCAAGUAUUGUGUACGGGCGACUCAAACGGACAAAAUGGAUCAUUGAAAGGACGUGGAUGUCGCCUAGAGGGGGUGAAUAGGCGCUUUUAAAAUAACUAUGGUUUAGGCUUGAACAAAUGCGGAAUAAAACUAAUGUUUAAUUUGUCAAGCACAAAACCUAAAACAACCAGGCUCACCUAUGUGCACCAACAACUUUUGCUAAGGAAGAUAAACAACGAAGUGAUAGCGAGAAAUACAACAAGAAAUAAUAUGGCUAUCACAAAUUAAAGUGCAUAAGCAAAGAGCUCGGGUGAGAGAUAACCAUGCCACGCGGAGACGACGAUGUAUCCCGAGGUUCACACCCUUGCGGAUGCUAAUCUCAGUUUGAAGCGGUGUGGAGGCACAAUGCUCCCCAAUAUGCCACUUGUUGGAAAUAUGCCCUAGAGGCAAUAAUAAAUUAGUUAUUAUUAUAUUUCUUAGUUCAUGAUAAUCGUUUAUUAUCCAUGCUAUAAUUGUAUUGAAUGAAGACUUAUAUACAUGUGUGGAUACAUAGACAAAACACUGUCCCUAGCAAGCCUCUAGUUGGCUAGUCAGUUGAUCAAAGAUAGUCAGGGUCUUCUGAUUAUGAACAAGGUGUUGUUGCUUGAUAACUGGAUCACGUCAUUAGGAGAAUCACGUGAUGGACUAGACCCAAACUAAUAGACGUAGCAUGUUGAUCGUGUCAUUUUGUUGCUACUGUUUUCUGCGUGUCAAGUAUUUGUUCCUAUGACCAUGAGAUCAUAUAACUCACUGACACCAGAGGAAUGCUUUGUGUGUAUCAAACGUCGCAACGUAACUGGGUGACUAUAAAGAUGCUCUACAGGUAUCUCCGAAGGUGUUAGUUGAGUUAGUAUGGAUCGAGACUGGGAUUUGUCACUCCGUGUGACGGAGAGGUAUCUCGGGGCCCACUCGGUAAUACAACAUCACACACAAGCCUUGCAAGCAAUGUAACUUAGUGUAAGUUGCGGGAUCUUGUAUUACGGAACGAGUAAAGAGACUUGCCGGUAAACGAGAUUGAAAUAGGUAUGCGGAUACUGACGAUCGAAUCUCGGGCAAGUAACAUACCGAAGGACAAAGGGAAUGACAUACGGGAUUAUAUGAAUCCUUGGCACUGAGGUUCAAACGAUAAGAUCUUCGUAGAAUAUGUAGGAUCCAAUAUGGGCAUCCAGGUCCCGCUAUUGGAUAUUGACCGAGGAGUCUCUCGGGUCAUGUCUACAUAGUUCUCGAACCCGCAGGGUCUGCACACUUAAGGUUCGACGUUGUUUUAUGCGUAUUUGAGUUAUAUGGUUGGUUACCGAAUGUUGUUCGGAGUCCCGGAUGAGAUCACGGACGUCACGAGGGUUUCCGGAAUGGUCCGGAAACGAAGAUUGAUAUAUAGGAUGACCUCAUUUGAUUACCGGAAGGUUUUCGGAGUUACCGGGAAUGUACCGGGAAUGACGAAUGGGUUCCGGGAGUUCACCGGGGGGGGCAACCCACCCCGGGGAAGCCCAUAGGCUUUGGGGAGACACACCAGCCCUUAGUGGGCUGGUGGGACAGCCCAAAAGGGCUCUAUGCGCCAAGAAGAAGAAAAUCAAGAGAAAAGAAAAAAAAGGAGGAGGUGGGAAGGAAGGGGGACUCCCUCCCACCAAACCAAGUCCAACUCGGUUUGGGGGGGAGUCCUCCCCCCUUGGACUCGGCCGACCCCCUUGGGGCUCCUUGAGCCCCAAGGCAAGGUCCCCUCCCUCCCACCUAUAUAUACGGAGGUUUUAGGGCUGAUUUGAGACGACUUUUCCACGGCAGCCCGACCACAUACCUCCACGGUUUUUCCUCUAGAUCGCGUUUCUGCGGAGCUCGGGCGGAGCCCUGCUGAGACAAGGUCAUCACCAACCUCCGGAGCGCCGUCACGCUGCCGGAGAACUCUUCUACCUCUCCGUCUCUCUUGCUGGAUCAAGAAGGCCGAGAUCAUCGUCGAGCUGUACGUGUGCUGAACGCGGAGGUGCCGUCCGUUCGGUACUAGAUCGUGGGACUGAUCGCGGGAUUGUUCGCGGGGCGGAUCGAGGGACGUGAGGACGUUCCACUACAUCAACCGCGUUCACUAACGCUUCUGCUGUACGAUCUACAAGGGUACGUAGAUCACUCAUCCCCUCUCGUAGAUGGACAUCACCAUGAUAGGUCUUCGUGCGCGUAGGAAAUUUUUUGUUUCCCAUGCGACGUUCCCCAACAGUGGCAUCAUGAGCUAGGUUCAUGCGUAGAUGUCUUCUUGAGUAGAACACAAAUGUUUUUGUGGGCGGUGAUGUGCGUUUUGCUGCCCUCCUUAGUCUUUUCUUGAUUCCGCGGUAUUCUUGGAUUGAAGCGGCUUGGACCGACAUUACUCGUACGCUUACGAGAGACUAGUUUCAUCGCUACGAGUAACCCUGUUGCUCAAAGAUGACUGGCAAGUGUCAGUUUCUCCAACUUUAGUUGAAUCGGAUUUGACCGAGGAGGUCCUUGGAUGAGGUUAAAUAGCAACUCAUAUAUCUUCGUUGUGGUGUUUGCGUAAGUAAGAUGCGAUCCUACUAGAUACCCAUGGUCACCACGUAAAACAUGCAACAACAAAAUUAGAGGACGUCUAACUUGUUUUUGCAGGGUAUGCUUGUGAUGUGAUAUGGCCAACGAUGUGAUGUGAUAUAUUGGAUGUAUGAGAUGAUCAUGUUGUAAUAGUUAAUAUCGACUUGCACGUCGAUGGUACGGCAACCGGCAGGAGCCAUAGGGUUGUCUUUAAACUAACGUUUGUGCUUGCAGAUGCGUUUACUAUAUUGCUAGGACGUAGCUUUAGUAGUAAUAGCAUGAGUAGCACGACAACCCCGAUGGCGACACGUUGAUGGAGAUCAUGAUGAUGGAGAUCAUGGUGUGACGCCGGUGACAAGAAGAUCGUGCCGGUGCUUUGGUGAUGGAGAUCAAGAAGCACGUGAUGAUGGCCAUAUCAUGUCACUUAUGAAUUGCAUGUGAUAUUAAUCCUUUAUGCACCUUAUCUUGCUUAGAACGGCGGUAGCAUUAUGAGGUGAUCUCUCACUAAAAUUUCAAGACGAAAUUGUGUUCUCCCCGACUGUGCACCGUUGCGACAGUUCUUCGUUUCGAGACACCACGUGAUGAUCGGGUGUGAUAGACUCAACGUUCACAUACAACGGGUGCAAAACAGUUGCACACGCGGAACACUCGGGUUAAGCUUGACGAGCCUAGCAUGUGCAGACAUGGCCUCGGAACACAUGAGACCGAAAGGUCGAGCAUGAAUGGUAUAGUUGAUAUGAUUGGCAUAGAGAUGCUUACCACUGAAACUAUUCUUGACUCACGUGAUGAUCAGACUUGAGAUAGUGGAUUUGGAUCAUGUACCACUCAAAUGACUAGAGAGAUGUACUUUUUGAGUGGGAGUUCUUAAGUGAUAUGAUUAAUUGAACUAAUUGUCAUGAACAUAGUCUAAUGGUCUUUACGAAUUACGAUGUAGCUUGCCCUACAGCUCUACUGUUUUUAUGUGUUCCUACAGAAAAUUUAGUUGAAAGUUGAUAGUAGCAAACUUUGAAGAGGAUUGUCCUCGUUGCUGCGCAGAAGGCUUACGUCCUUAAUGCACCACUCAGUGUGCUGCACCUCGAGCGUCGUCUGUGGAUGCUGUGAACAUCCGACAUACACGUUUCUGAUGACUACACGAUAGUUCAGUGCAAAAUACUUAAAUGGCUUAGAAGCAAGGCGCCGAAGACGUUUUGGAACGUCACGGAACAUAAGUGAUGUUCUAAAGAGAUGAAAUUGUGAUUUCAUGCUUGUGCCCUUGUUAAGAGGUACGAGACCUCCGACAAGAUUCUUUGUCCACAAAAUAAAGGAGAAAAGCUCAAUCGUUGAGCAUGUGCUCAGAUUGUCUGAGUACGACAAUCGCUUGAAUCAAGUGGGGGUUAAUCUUCCAGAUGAGAUAGUGAUAGUUCUCCAAAGUCACUGCCACCAAGCCGUGAGAGCUUCGUGAUGAACUAUAACAUAUCAAGGAUAGAUACAAUGAUCUUUGAGUGAUUCACGAUGUUUGACACUGCGAAAGUAGAAAUCAACAAGGAGCGUCAAUAGUUGAUGGUUAGUAAAACCACGAAGUUUCGAGAAAGGCAAGGGCUAGAAGGGAUACUUCGUGAAAACGGCAAAACAGUUGCUGCACUAAUGAAGAGACCCAAGAUUAAACCCAAACCUGAGACUAAGUGCUUCUGUAAUGAGGGGAACAGUCACAGAGGCGGAGCAACUCUAGAUACUUGGUAGAUAAGUAGGCUGGCAAAAGUCGAAAGAAGUAUAUUUGAUAUACAUGAUGUGUACUUUAUUAGUACUCCUAGUAGCAUGAGGGUAUUGGAUACCGGUUCGGUUGCUAAGUGAUUAGUAACACGAAAUGAUAGCAAUGGCAUAAAUGGAGACUAGCUAAAGGCGAGGUGACGAUACGUGUUGGAAGUGUUUCCAAGAUUGAUAUGAUCAAAACGUCGCACGCUCCCUCUACCAUCGGGAUUGGUGUUAAACCUAAAUAAUUGUUAUUUGGUGCUUGCGUUAAGCAUGAACAUGAUUGGAUCAUGUUUAUUGCAAUACGAUUAUUCAUUUAAAGAGAAUAAUGGUUACUCUAUUUGCUUGAAUAAUCACCUUCAAUGGUUUAUUGAAUCUCGAUCGUAGUGUUACACAUGUUCAUGAUAUUGGUGCCAAAAGACACGAGGUAAUAAUGAUAGUACCACUUACUUGUGGCACUGCCGCUGGAGUCAUGUUGGUAUAAAUUGCAUGAAGAGGCUCCAUGCUGAUGGAUCUUUAUACUCACUUGAUUUUGAAUCACUAGUGACAUGCAAAUCAUACCACAUGAGCAAGGCCUUGUUUUUCAUUGAGAUGAAACAAGAUAGUAACUUGUUGGAAGUGAUGCAUUUUGACGUAUGCAGUCCAAUGGGUGCUGAGGCACGCAGUGGAUAUCAUUAUGUUCUUACUUCAAUGAAUAUUUGAGCAGAUACAAGACUAUUUGCUUAAUGAAUCACAAGUCUGAAAUAUUGAAAAGUUCAAUUCUGUUUCAGAGUGAAGUUCGUCGUAACAAAAGGAUAAACUGUCUAUGAUAUGAUCAUAGAAAUGAAUAUCUGAGUUACGAGUUUUGGUACGCAGUUAAGACAAUGUGGAAAUUGUUUCGCAGUUCAUGCCACCUGGAACAUCAUAGUGUGAUGAUGUGUCUGAACGUCAUAGCCACGCACUAUUUGGUAUGGUGCAUACUAUGAUGUCUCUUAUCAAAAUACCACUAUCGUUUAUGGGUUAUGCAUUAGAGACAACCACAUUCACUUUAAAAUAGGGCACCGUGUAUUUCCGUUGAGAUGACACAGUAUAGACUGAGGUUUAGAGAAAUCUAAACUGUCGUUUCUUGAAAGUUUGGGGCUUCGACACUUAUGUGAAAAAGUUUCAGUCUGAUAAGCUCGAACCCAAAGCGGAUAAAUGCAUCUUCAUAGGAUAUCCAAAACAGUUGGGUACAUCUCCUAUCUCAGAUCCGAAAGCAAAGUGUUUGUUUCCAGAAACGGAUCCUUUCUCGAGGAAAGGUUUCUCUCGAAAGAAUUGAGUGGGAGGGUGGUAGAAUUUGAUGAGGUUAUUGAACCGUCACUUCGACCAGUGUGUAGCAGGGCGCAGGAAGUUGUUCCUGUGGCGCCUACACCAAUUGAAGUGAAAGCUGAUGAGGGUGAUCAUCGAGCAUCAGAUCAAGUUACUACAAACCUCGUAGGUUGACAAGGUCACGUACUAGUGCAGAGUGGUACGGUAACCCUGUCUUGGAGGUCACGUUGUUGAGCAACAGUGAACCUACGAGUUAUGGAGAAGCAAUGGUGGGCCCGGAUUCCGACAAAUGGCUUGAGGCCAUGAAAUCCGAGAGAGGAUCCAUAUAUAAAACAAAGUGUAGACUUUGGAGGAACUACUUGAUGGUAGUAAGACUAUUGAGUAAAGAUGGAUCUUUGUAAGGAAGACAUACGACGAUGGUGAUAAGUCACUAUUAAGAAAAGCUUGACUUGUCGCAAAGAUGUUUCUGACAAGAUCAAACAGUUGACUAUGAUGAGACUUUCUCACUCGUAGCGAUGCUAAUAGUCUGUUGGAAUUAUGUUAGUAGUUGCUGCAUUAUUUAUAAAAUAUUGCACAUAGGAUGUCAAAACAUUGUUUCCUCAAUGGUUUCCUUGAGCAAACAUUGUAUGUGAUACAACCAGAAGGUUUUGUCGAUCCUAAAGAUACUAACAAGUAUGCAAGCUCCAGUGAUCCUUCAAUGGACUGGUGCAAGCAUCUCGGAGUUGGAAUAUACACUUUGAUGAGGUGAUCAAAGAUUUUGGGUUUGUACAAGGUUUAUGAGAAACUUGUAUUUCCAAAGAAGUGAGUGGGAGCACUAUAGUAUUUCUGAUAAGUAUAUGUGGUUGACAUAUUGUGGAUCAGAAGUAAUGUAGAAUUUCUGUAAAGCAUACAAGGUUAUUUGAAAGGUUUUUCAAAGGAAUACCUCGAUUGAGCUACUUGAACAUUGAGCAUCAAGAUCUAUGGAGAUAGAUCAAAACACUUAAUAGAAGUUUCAACAAAAUGCAUGCCUUGACAAGUUUUGAAGGAGUUCAAAAUAGAUCAGCAAAGGAGUUCUUGGUUGCGUUGUGAGGUGUGAAUUUGAGUAAGACUCAAAACCCGACCACGGCAGAAUAAAGAGAAUAGACGAAGGUCGUCUUCUGUGCCUUAGCCGAAGACUCUAAAGUAUGCCAUGCUGAGUACCGCACAUGAUGUGUGCCUUGCACUCUCAUGAGAGGUACAGAGAGUGAUCCAUGAUUGAAUCACUAGCAGCGGUCAAAAUUUAUCCUUAGUAACUGAUAGACUAAGGAAUUUUUCUCGAUUAUGGAGGUGGUUAAAGAGUUCAUCGUAAAGGGUUACGUUGAUGCAAGCUUUGACACUAAUCCGAAUAACUAUGAGUAGUGAAACGGAUUCAUAUAGUAGAGUAGAUAUUUGGAGUAUUUCCGAAUAGCCCAUAGUAGCAGCAUCUAUAAGAUGACAUAAAGAUUUGUAAAGAACACACGGACCUGAAAGUUUCAGAACCGUUGACUAAAACCUCUCUCACGAGCAAGACGUGAUCAGACCCCAUAAAUAUAUGGGUGUUGGAUUCGUUGGAAUCACAUGGUGAUGUGAACUAGAUUAUUGACUCUAGUGCAAGUGGGAGACUGUUGGAAAUAUGCCCUAGAGGCAAUAAUAAAUUAGUUAUUAUUAUGUACGGGCGACUCAAACGGACAAAAUGGAUCAUUGAAAGGACGUGGAUGUCGCCUAGAGGGGGUGAAUAGGCGCUUUUAAAAUAACUAUGGUUUAGGCUUGAACAAAUGCGGAAUAAAACUAAUGUUUAAUUUGUCAAGCACAAAACCUAAAACAACCAGGCUCACCUAUGUGCACCAACAACUUUUGCUAAGGAAGAUAAACAACGAAGUGAUAGCGAGAAAUACAACAAGAAAUAAUAUGGCUAUCACAAAUUAAAGUGCAUAAGCAAAGAGCUCGGGUGAGAGAUAACCAUGCCACGCGGAGACGACGAUGUAUCCCGAGGUUCACACCCUUGCGGAUGCUAAUCUCAGUUUGAAGCGGUGUGGAGGCACAAUGCUCCCCAAUAUGCCACUUGUUGGAAAUAUGCCCUAGAGGCAAUAAUAAAUUAGUUAUUAUUAUAUUUCUUAGUUCAUGAUAAUCGUUUAUUAUCCAUGCUAUAAUUGUAUUGAAUGAAGACUUAUAUACAUGUGUGGAUACAUAGACAAAACACUGUCCCUAGCAAGCCUCUAGUUGGCUAGUCAGUUGAUCAAAGAUAGUCAGGGUCUUCUGAUUAUGAACAAGGUGUUGUUGCUUGAUAACUGGAUCACGUCAUUAGGAGAAUCACGUGAUGGACUAGACCCAAACUAAUAGACGUAGCAUGUUGAUCGUGUCAUUUUGUUGCUACUGUUUUCUGCGUGUCAAGUAUUUGUUCCUAUGACCAUGAGAUCAUAUAACUCACNNNNNNNNNNNNNNNNNNNNNNNNNNNNNNNNNNNNNNNNNNNNNNNNNNNNNNNNNNNNNNNNNNNNNNNNNNNNNNNNNNNNNNNNNNNNNNNNNNNNNNNNNNNNNNNNNNNNNNNNNNNNNNNNNNNNNNNNNNNNNNNNNNNNNNNNNNNNNNNNNNNNNNNNNNNNNNNNNNNNNNNNNNNNNNNNNNNNNNNNNNNNNNNNNNNNNNNNNNNNNNNNNNNNNNNNNNNNNNNNNNNNNNNNNNNNNNNNNNNNNNNNNNNNNNNNNNNNNNNNNNNNNNNNNNNNNNNNNNNNNNNNNNNNNNNNNNNNNNNNNNNNNNNNNNNNNNNNNNNNNNNNNNNNNNNNNNNNNNNNNNNNNNNNNNNNNNNNNNNNNNNNNNNNNNNNNNNNNNNNNNCUGGAUCAAGAAGGCCGAGAUCAUCGUCGAGUUGUACGUGUGCUGAACGCGGAGGUGCCGUCCGUUCGACACUAGAUCGUGGGACUGAUCGCGGGACGGUUCGCGGGGCUGAUCGAGGGACGUGAGGACGUUCCACUACAUCAACCGCGUUCACUAACGCUUCUGCUGUACGGUCUACAAGGGUACGUAGAUCACACAUCCCCUCUCGUAGAUGGACAUCACCAUGAUAGGUCUUCGUGCGCGUAGGAAAUUUUUUGUUUCCCAUGCGACGUUCCCCAACAGCACUAAGGCCACCGUAAUCUCCUCACGCCCUCGCACAAUGCAAGUUGUCGUGAUUCCACUAAGGGACCCUUGAGGGCGGUCACCGAACCCGUACAAACAAGGUUGGGGCAAUCUUCACAACUUAAUUGAAGGCUCCGAACAACACCAGGAAGCUUCAUCACAAUGGCAUAUGGCUUCGAGGUGACACAAAUGCUCGGCGCAAUCUCCACAACUUAAUUGGAGAUCUGGCGCUUUCCCGGAGCUUUACACCACAAUGAUUAAGCUUCGAGGCACCACCAAACUGCUAAGACGCCAAAGCAUCCACGAAGAACAAUAACUAGGGUACCAAGUACCAAAGGGUAAUAAGCUUCUCAAACUUCACGUGCACGCAUCACCGUGGAGAAGUCAAACAUAUGCACCAAAUGCAAUGGCAAGGGCACACGGAAUGCCCAAGUCCUUCACUCCCGAAUCCCACCACAACUACUAAUGCUAUGGUGUAAAAUGAGCGGAAGAACAAAGAAGAACACCAAGAACUCAAAAAACUAGAUCCAAGGGGUUCCCCUCACUUAAAGGAGAAAGUGAUUGGUGGAAGUGUGGAUCUAGAUCUCCUCUCUCUUUUCCCACAAAAAAGGAGCAAGAAUCAUUGGAGGGAUUGAGAGUUAGCAAGCUCAAAGAAGGUCAACAAUGGGGGAAGAACACGAGCUCAACAGAUAAGAACCAUUGGAGAAGAAGACCCCCUUUAUAUAGUGGGCAAAAGAAUCCAACCAUUACCCCCACUUACAUCCCGAGCAAAGCGGUACUACCGCUCCCCCAUGCAGUACUACCGCUGCCCGGUGUUGUACUACUGCACGCACGGUAGUGGCAGAGGGAGGAACUAUUGCACGGGGCAACGAGCGGUAGAACCACCGAAGUGGUACUACCGCACGCCCUUAAGGUACUAUCGCAUGGUAGUAUCCAACUGCCACAGAAGGUACACGGAAGUAAAAACUUACUUCCGUGUUUACCUCGGGUGAGGCUACGGCUGUGCAAAAAUCUGACACUGUAGUACCGGACACGGUUUUGUGGUACUACUGCUCGAGGGCGGUAGUAAAAAACUAUGUCCGCUCUUUACACAGCGGAAGUACCGGGCGGUACUUCCGUGGUACCGAGCGGUACUACCGUAGUACCGAGCGGUACUACCGCAUGUUUAGAGAAAAACAGCUAUGGAACUGAAACUACCAUAACCUUUGCAUACGAGCUCCGAAUCGAGCGAACUCAAACUUGUUGAAUUCAGGAUGACAAGAGCUAUCCAAAUAGCGACUACAAAUCUUAAGAACAUGGAGUUGUGAAAAUGCCAAUUAUAUAGAGAUGUAAGACCUCUAUGAAUAAAGAACCGACAAAAAUUCCAACAUCGAAAACAUCGUAGAAGAUGCAUAUGGACUCUGUUUUCGAUGAACUCGAGCUUGUCAUGAAAAUAACCAUAAACUCUAAAACUCACAAAGAGAAACACCAAACAAGAACCAAAAACUAUGAUGCAAGGAUGCAAAUAGUUUGAGGUGUCAACGAACGAUACGAUCAAGCUACUCACUUGGGAGCCCCCUUGACAGUACAACAAUCUAUCCUGAAAUAGAAAAAACCUAUCAAGGGCAAACAUAUACCUUGCACCUAGUUCUCUUGAGCUAGAUGACGAUGAUCUUGACUUCCUCAAGAUGGACCACCUUUGUUGAUUGCGUUGGUUUGACGAAGACUAGUUGAUUGCUCUCCCAUACUCACUAUGGGUGAGCUACUCUUCAGCACAUCUUUACAAGUCCAUUGUCACCACAAUGAACGGCAAGCUUCAAGCAUGAUAUCUUCAUGAUGCUCCACUUGAACUUGCACAACACAAUCUUGAUGACGAUCGCCACUUAAUGGCAUCCUUUAUAGGCUGAAUGAGAUCUUCCUCUUGACACAAACCCAUGGAAACACACCUAAGCCCACAUAGAACUCUCACGGAGACCAUGGGUUAGUACACAAAAGCGUUAUGGACAAUGCUUACCAUACCAUGGGAUCACUUGAUCCCUCUCGGUACAUCUUGUAUGCUUUGUCUGUUGAUUAUCUUGAUUUACUCUUUGCUUAGUCUUGGUCAACCUUGUGUCUUUAUGAACAAUCUUUAGAUAAUACUUUGAAUAACACCUUGGUCAUCAUAUAAACUCCUUGAAACAACAGAUGGACUUCAAAAAGUGCCCAUAGACAAAUCCUUUAAAUAUAACUCAAUGCAAUCAUUAGUCCAUAAAAAUUGUUAUCAAUUACUAAAACCACAUACGGAGAAAUAUGCUCUAAUAAUCACCCAGUUGGAGUUGCUCUAAGAAGGCCGAAUCCUGAAUGUCCGAGUGAGAAUUAUGAUACUGUGAUUUUUCAGAUUAUUUGAAUGUUUCGUACUUUCGUUUUGUUUCUUCAGCGGUAUAUCACGUCUCCUCUAGUCAUCGCCGAGUCAGUGGAAACUGUGUGAGCGAGCAAUGGCCACGCUGGAAGAUGUCGACGUGCAACGGAGGAGAUGUGACCGGUCAGCACCAAGCACGCGGUGACUCAGUUGCAUACGGAGCACCUCAUAUCGUUGUGUCGUCAUUCUCACCUUGAAAAAAAAAA